CUGAAGUGAUCGUUGAGUCGAAGAAGCGUAAACUGACAAGUCGACGACAGGCUAUCGUGGUGAACAUGACAAUGAAGUGGUUGAUCUUGGCUUUCUGCGUCGCCGUGCUGGUCACAGCUGGUGAAGCUCAGUAUUGCCGUACCUGUGGGCCGUCUGGGGGAAUCUGUGAUUAUUGGGUCCUGUGUGAGCCGGGCAAAAUCUGCCGUGAUAACCCAUCCACCGGUGGCCAGGAGUGCGUGUGGCCGUGACAGUGCCAGCGGACAAACCCCCAACUUGAAGUCCUCCAAAAUGGAC